GACGAACGCUGGCGGCGUGCUUAACACAUGCAAGUCGAACGGCAGCACGGGUGCUUGCACCUGGUGGCGAGUGGCGAACGGGUGAGUAAUACAUCGGAACGUACCUUAUCGUGGGGGAUAACGCAGCGAAAGCCACGCUAAUACCGCAUACGAUCUAUGGAUGAAAGCGGGGGAUCGCAAGACCUCGCGCGAUUGGAGCGGCCGAUAUCAGAUUAGGUAGUUGGUGAGGUAAAGGCUCACCAAGCCGACGAUCUGUAGCUGGUCUGAGAGGACGACCAGCCACACUGGAACUGAGACACGGUCCAGACUCCUACGGGAGGCAGCAGUGGGGAAUUUUGGACAAUGGGCGCAAGCCUGAUCCAGCAAUGCCGCGUGCAGGAUGAAGGCCUUCGGGUUGUAAACUGCUUUUGUACGGAACGAAACGGUGAGCUCUAAUACAGUUUGCUAAUGACGGUACCGUGAGAAUAAGCACCGGCUAACUACGUGCCAGCCGCCGCUGUAACAC
rnacentral:rRNA from 1 species